GGGGAUGUAGCUCAGUUGGUAGAGUGCUUGCCUUGCAUGCACAAGGCCUUGGGUUCAAUCCCCAGCACCA
rnacentral:tRNA from 1 species